rnacentral:tRNA from 2 species
GGGUGCGUAGUAUAGCACGGAUAAUGCGCCUCCCUGCGGUAGAGGAAGUCGUCAGUUCGAAUCUGACCGCACCCGCCA